CUUUGGGGCAUUUACUGAAUGUAUCAUUCUUUUAGUAGAAAUGCAAUGUGCACUCUCACAAAGACUUAAAAAGAUUGCUUUGGCUCACCUGAGGAGACUUGAAUAUUAGAUUGCAUAUGACGCAUUUCACAGUUCUAAAAGGCAAAGAAAUUCUUAUUUUCUUUGAAAAGUGAAACAACUUUCCCAGAAUCCCUGCCCCUCCCAAAAGCCACCUGAGGGUUUUUCACCCCCGUUAUAUGUGCCCAGUUAAAUCUAUUAACCUUGAAUAAGCUAUCAUAUAGGCCAGAAUCCUAACUUGAUAUGCACUAAUAACUAAUCUCUCAUUAACACCAAUGGAUGGUGUUCAAAGGUUUGAGUUAACCAAAGUGUAUCACAGGUUAUGAUUUGGCCCAUACUUAAGUUGAUUCUGUGUUUUGUCAUUUAUGUCAACCUUGGUGAUUGUGAAAAGCCUAAUUUAGCUAACAUUUUGUCUAGGGAGAAUUGUCUUAAAUAAUGUGGUAAAGAAAGAGAACCAUGGGGGAAAACCAAAAUGGGAUCAAUUUGUGGUUCUGUCCCAAAUUACAUCCAAUUGUUGAUUGGUCGUAACCAAUGUAUAUGACAUGGCUUUCAGCCAAUCAGUAUUAAGGACCCAAACUACCCCAUUAAUAAUUGACUUUAUAGGAAUAGCAUGUCAUUUGAGAGAUGGCCUUCCUCUUUAUGGUUAAGUUAUUUUGUUAACCAUAUCAUGCCCAGCUCAGAUGGGACCCUCCAGAAAGGCCCAUUGACUUGAAUGGAGCUGGUGAGCAAUAACUGACAUGCGCUUUUCCUGUAAUAAGUCAUAGUAAGUGUCAAGCAUUGUUUGUAUCAGUGAAAGGGGGAUCCCACUGCCUCCUGGCAAAAGGACCUAUUGAUUUUAAUAACUUGAGCUUCAGUGUUAAAUAGAAAAAGGAGUGAUUUAAAUAGUGUCCCGAUUUUAUUGUCCACUUCCUGAAUAGUUAAUUAUUUUGCCAGAAUUGGUAAUCUGUAAAAACCUCAGUGACUGUAGACCCUUGUUAAGAAAGUGCUAGUACUUUGUUGUUGUUACAUUUUCAGAUAUUUGGUCUCUGUAUAUGUCGGGAGACUAAUUUACUGUAGGUCAAGUAAGGAGUGGAGUUGGAGAAUAUCUCUAUCCUUUUGUUAAAUUUUUUAAGUUACUUCACACCUUUGAUAGCGAUAGGCCGGGCCCAUAUACGUACGUACACACGCACGCACGCACGCACGCACACUGUAAACAUACAUGCAAACACUCCAAAGUGCUUACACCUUGCUUACCAACAUACCACACAAACGCAAACCUUGCUUAGAGUAUGUUCCUACCUAAUCUAUGAGUAACAAGGUUAAAUUGGAGCUAUCUCCCUAUGGCUUCUUUUUGGAUCUCUGAGAUGUCACACAAAUGGAUUCUCCUAUGGAAGAAGAAAGGAACCUACUGUACCAAAAUCCUGGACCAAAACAAAGCUCUUUAGAACAUUUCUGAAACUUUACACACUUUAUGCCUAAAAUGUUAUGAAGACUUCAAAAACCCAAGUGACAGAAGAGCCCUAUAUGAACUAUAUGAAGUGAGCGGUUAUAUGUCCCUCAAACAUUGUGUUUUAUGUUCCAGUUGUUGGACAUGAUCUUCCCAUGUGCGUUAUCGUUGUACCCACCCUGGUCAAUAACUACUACCUAAAAUGAGAACUCAUGCAUUUGGUAUUCUCUGCUAAGGUGCCAGGAUCGCCUCCCUGUCCCUGAUACCCUGUUUCUCAGUUUAAAAAAAGUCCAACAAAUGACUGUAUUGCUUUUUCUUCCUUCUGUACUUUGUAUUGCCAGCGA
ensembl:lncRNA